rnacentral:rRNA from 1 species
GACAGAGGGUGCAAGCGUUAAUCGGAAUUACUGGGCGUAAAGCGCGCGUAGGUGGAUUAGUAAGUUGGAUGUGAAAUCCCUGGGCUUAACCUAGGAAUUGCAUUCAAAACUGUUAUUCUAGAGUACAGUAGAGGGAAGUGGAAUUUCCGGUGUAGCGGUGAAAUGCGUAGAUAUCGGAAAGAACAUCAGUGGCGAAGGCGACUUCCUGGACUGAUACUGACACUGAGGUGCGAAAGCGUGGGGAGCAAACAGG